UUAAGGUCUGAAAACCCUCUUCAGGAUUCUUCAGAAUUAUCAUGUCUCCUUAGACUUUGCUAGACUGGAAUAGUUUUUCAGACUUUCUUUGCUGACCCUGGCAUUUUUAAAGAGUACUGGUUUGUAGAAUAUUUCUCAAUUGGGGUUUUCUGGGUGCAUGUGGCGGUGGUGAUGAUGAUGAAGAUGGAGAAGACGCUAAGGUCAUGGGUUUUUGAGGAAACCACGGAGGUAAAAUGCACAUUGUAUGAAGGGCUAUGAACAUGGCAUUGUCCUGUAACGGAAAGGUCUCUGCCCACCCCCUUUCCACACUGUACUCUUUGGGAGGAGGUCACUCUGGAAUCCACACAGAUUAGGGAGUUGCAUUUCUGUUUAAGAGGAAAACAGGUGUUGCACCUGACUAGUGAGAUUUGCAAAGGUUGCAGGCCAUUACAGGGUGCCCAAUGUACCUGCUUCCCACCCACUAAGUGCCAGGUGAACCCAACUGAAAGUAGGUCCCAUGAAUUUCCCAACCAACCCCUAGGGGUCAGCACUGCCUUGCUGAGAGCUACUGCUAUAUGAAUGCCACCUACUAGCUUCUGUAAAGUGGAUGUGAACUUGCAGCAUUUACAAAGCACUAUGGGUAGAGUACAGAAGCAUAUUCUCCUUAUUUACAUGCACUUUGCCCCAAUUCACUCAUUUAUGAGAGCUUUUAAGAGCUCUUCAAAGCAUUCCAUUUUCUAUAUAAACUUAUGUUUUACAUACCAUUGUAUUAAGUUAUAUGCUUAUAAUUACAAGGUAACCAGAUUGAACAUGUUUGUAAUGGACAUGACUGAUGAGUAAGUGACUUUUCUGGGGAGCAGAUAUGCGUCAAUGUCCCAGAGAGUGACAAGUGGUUAUAAUUAGCUUAGCCUGUCAGAGCACCAGUUUUCUGAGGAAAUAAUCAGGUUAAUAGAAUAAUUGGUUCAGUAAAAACUUGUUAAGAAAACUUGCACUGUAAAUAUAUAGGUUUGAGUCCUAUCAAUACUAGUAAAGAUUGUAGAUCUUUUUUCAACACCAAUACACAGGAUUGCUAUGGUUGUAAUGAAAUGGAAAUUUUCAUUUGAAUAUGAACUCUAUACAUUAAUUUUGCAGUACAUUUCAAGAGUUUAAAGACAAAAAUACCAGGUUCUUUUACUGGGUACUACCAUGAUAUUGUGGGAAUUUUGUUUCUCUGAAAAUAAUCAGAUUUAAAUUUCAAAACUAUAAUUUGAUACUUGUGUUUUUUUUUAAUAAUAGUAAGAGCUUUGAAACAAGAACCCCAAGUGGGGAAAGAGUUAACUCUUGUAAUACAACAAUGGAAUAUUAUCUAUUCUAACCUCGUUUAAACACUAUUUAACACUGUAAGUAUUUUGUGCUUUCAAGGAAUAUAGGAAAAUGCUCAUGAGACCGCUAAGUGGAAAAGCAGGAUGCAAACUCAUGUACAUCAUGGUAAUGCUGUAGGUUCUUCUCUGCUCCAGGUAGAGUUAAACGGGGUUUAGGGCAGACCAAAGAAAAUGCAAGGCACAAUAACAGUGACUGCUAUGUUUUAUUCAUGAGCUCUCUGCUCACAGAUGCAGCUGCAACACCAGCACCAACACAGCUGUCCAGCAGUGGUGCCUAUUUGUACUCCCACUAGACAAAAGUGACAUCUGGCUAAAUAUGGCCUCAAGGUUACUGAAGAUAGUACACAAGUGUGCGACUCAAGGUUACAUGGGCAUGCUAAUCACUGUCCUGGAUGUAUAGCUUCGGGGCCCUUCAGAAGUUACAGUGAGGAAAUCUGACUCCAUUUCCCUUCUAUUAUGCUCCCAAAUUUGUUGAAGAAGGAAAGAGAAAUAAACCCCACAUGCACUUAGAAAUGCUUUGAAGGAAAUAUACCGAAUUGUGAUUGCUCCUCACUACUGAAAUUAGUCAUGAUUUUGUUCCUUAUAUUUUUCUGUAUUUUCCCAAUUCUCUAAAACUAGUAAGGAUCUUUGGGCAAUAUCACCCCUUCCCUUGCACUCUCCCAGUUUCUCCCACCCACAAGUUGUAUGGUUCAGUUUCAGCGUAGUGUCCAGUAAGUACCAUUGCCACAUUUGUUCACCCUCUGUCCCUUUAUUUCUGUGCCUCCCUUUACACUCCCAAUGACAUAGAAAUGAACAAACAGAA